UUAGCUCAGUUGGUUAGAGCAUCUGACUGUUAAUCAGAGGGUCGCUGGUUCGAGUCCAGCA
rnacentral:ncRNA from 12 species